UAUGAGAACCAAGGAAAUGAACGCGCCCUAUCUCGUCUGAUCUCGGAAGCUAAGCAGGGUCGGGCCUGGUUAGUACUUGGAUGGGAGAACCAAGGAAAGCAGUGAGUUUUUUUGA
rnacentral:rRNA from 1 species